rnacentral:rRNA from 1 species
CCGAAUGUGCCCUUCGGGGGAAAGAUUUAUCGCCUUUAGAGCGGCCCGCGUCUGAUUAGCUAGUUGGUAAGGUAAUGGCUUACCAAGGCGACGAUCAGUAGCUGGUCUGAGAGGAUGAUCAGCCACACUGCGACUGAGACACGGCCCAGACUCCUACGGGAGGCAGCAGUGGGGAAUCUUGCGCAAUGGGCGAAAGCCUGACGCAGCCAUGCCGCGUGAAUGAUGAAGGUCUUAGGAUUGUAAAAUUCUUUCACCGGGGACGAUAAUGACGGUACCCGGAGAAGAAGCCCCGGCUAACUUCGUGCCAGCAGCCGCGGUAAUACGAAGGGGGCUAGCGUUGCUCGGAAUUACUGGGCGUAAAGGGCGCGUAGGCGGAUCGUUAAGUCAGAGGUGAAAUCCCAGGGCUCAACCCUGGAACUGCCUUUGAUACUGGCGAUCUUGAGUAUGAGAGAGGUAUGUGGAACUCCGAGUGUAGAGGUGAAAUUCGUAGAUAUUCGGAA